UAGCUCUUAGUGGGAACCAGUCUGGGUCCAGUUGCUAAUUGAAGUGUUUCAGUUCCUCUCGCCGUCUGCCGGAUCAGAAAUACAUUACCGGAGCUGCCGAGCUUGGUGUUUGCUUUCCUCUGUGGGAAAUAUCAGGAACCGAGAUUGAAAGAGGUCUACAGGAUUAGUUCACCGUGCCACUCUCUACAGGGUCCACACUUAACUGUCGAGUUGGGUGAAGGAACCUGAUCCCCAGAAGUAGCCUCUACCUGAUCUUGUGAAACUUUUUCUCGGGUUCAGGGCUUCACACUUACUCAACUCAGGCGACAUGCAUUGGGGCCCUGACUUCCAGCCAACCACACUCACGUUGCUACUGCUGCUCAGUGCUCAUGAGUAACAUGUUCAUCACAUAACUGGUUGGAGUAGUAGAAAAUGUAUGUACCUUAUCUGUACACUCUUAGAAAAAAAUGUGCUAAGUAGAACCAUAUAGGGUUUUUCUGUUUUGGGUGCUAGGUAGAACCCUCUAUGUAGGGUUCUUUAUUUAACCCUCUCUAUAUGGCUCUACCUAGAACCCUCUAUGAAGGGUUCUACCAAGAACCAUUUUAUAAUCUAAAGGUUCUUCCUUGAGCUCUCAAUUAACGGUUCCACCAGCCUUAAAAUGUAAUUCUUUAUGACAGUACAUUACAUACUGUAUAUCAUAAGGCCUUUCUUUGAGGGCCUCGUUAUACCCCAACACAAUGGUGUUAUGAAACUCCUGGUUUACAGUUUACAUCAGGCCUGCAAAUCACAUUAUGCUGGCUUGCAUAGGGAUGUGUAAUUCCUAUUGGAAUCCAGCCAGAGUUAGGAUAUAAUAUAGUAAAUAUAGCAAAUAUAAACGUUUGUCAUGUAAUCAUGCAACCUGCAUUCAGAAUCACUUGCUGGGUAGGGAAGAUUGAAUACUGAGAGUACCUCAAUCAUCUAAACUGUAACGGGUGCAAUAAGUCCAACUACUAACAGAUUGGAUUAGUUUAGAAAAAUGUAUGUUCUAUACAUUUGUGUAGCAUAAAAUGUAUCAACCAAUCAAUGCACAUGUAAAAACACAGCCAUUAAAACAAACAAUUCUGAAAAUCACCUUGCAGUAGAGCAUGCUGGGAAAUAUAAUAUAUGAUUCUAUGUAGAACUCUUAUUGCCUUCCAAAUAAUUACCAAAUAACACUUUCCUCUAAAAACGGUUCUAGGUAGAACUAUUUGCCUUACAAAGAACCCUUGUCUUCCAAAAAGGGAUCUUCAGAUCAAAACAGUUCUUGGUAGAACCCUAUCCCUCCGUGAAGAACCCAUUUGGCACCCUUUAUCUAUGAGUGUAGCUAGAUUUCCUAGAGGAUUCAAAACAUUCAAAAUGACAACCUCAACUUUUAUCGCUAUCAAAUAUUCAUGGGACCUGGGAUUCCAGUUCUUUCUUUCUUUUUGAGGGCAGGCUCAUUGCAAUAUCUUUUAUAACUUUUACUGUAAUUGAACCUGUUGAAUGUUAUCGUUAAACAUAUCUUCAUGAGGGCCGUGAGCAAUACCGAGUAACGCCUUAUGUUGUUAGAAAGCUCAGGUAGUUUUUAUGUAUUAUUUCACUAUGAUUUGUAUGCACUGUUUGCCCUACAAUGUACUGUUACAGUAAAUAGCAUAAAAAAUAGUACAUCACAGAUUUAAUUUUCAAAUUUCAUAUGCUAUGAACAACCUUUUAUGAAACAUGUUUUAGAUAAUCUACAUAUACUCAAAAUCAACUUUACAAUUGACAUGCUAUAAGAUUUUAACUGCCUUAUCACUGUAAUCAUUUUUAUACCUAGUGGUCAAGGGAAAAUCUGACUCAUUUCCCAAACAACAUUACUCAAAUUUCUCCAUGAUAUUGCAUAUUAUUUUGACAUUUGAUGUAUCUUUUAUUAAUGUCCACUGUUUGUUUAACAGCUGGUAUGUGUGAUGAAUAAAUACAAAA